rnacentral:sRNA from 1 species
GCCGGGCACGUUGGUGCACGCUUGUAAUCCCAGUGGCACGGGAGGCUGAGGCAGGAGGAUCGCGAGUUCCAAGCCAGCCUCAGCCAAAGCGAGGCACUAAGCAACUCAGUGAGACCCUGUCUCUA